GACGAACGCUGGCGGCGUGCUUAACACAUGCAAGUCGAACGGAAAGGCCCUGCUUUUGUGGGGUGCUCGAGUGGCGAACGGGUGAGUAACACGUGAGUAACCUGCCCUUGACUUUGGGAUAACUUCAGGAAACUGGGGCUAAUACCGGAUAGGAGCUCCUGCUGCAUGGUGGGGGUUGGAAAGUUUCGGCGGUUGGGGAUGGACUCGCGGCUUAUCAGCUUGUUGGUGGGGUAGUGGCUUACCAAGGCAUUGACGGGUAGCCGGCCUGAGAGGGUUACCGGCCACAUUGGGACUGAGAUACGGCCCAGACUCCUACGGGAGGCAGCAGUGGGGAAUAUUGCACAAUGGGCGGAAGCCUGAUGCAGCAACGCCGCGUGCGGGAUGACGGCCUUCGGGUUGUAAACCGCUUUCGCCUGUGACGAAGCGUGAGUGACGGUAAUGGGUAAAGAAGCACCGGCUAACUACGUG
rnacentral:rRNA from 1 species